rnacentral:rRNA from 1 species
AAACUAGGAUUAGAUACCCUAUUACUUUAAAUUUUAUAAAAGAUAAUAAAUUUUUGAAUUAAUAAAAUUGGCGGUUCUUUUACUGUUUAGAGGAGUUUGUUUUAUAAAGGAUAAUACUCCUAUAAAUUUACUCUAAUUUAAGUUCUUAUAUCGCUGUUGUUAAAAUAUUUUUGAGGAAGAUACUUUAAAUUUAUAUUACAAAAGACUUCAAGUCAAGAUGAAACAAUGUUAGAGAAGAAAUGAACUACAAUAAAUAUUUUUAUGAUGGAUUAAAAUUUUAAAAUUUUAAAGAAGGUGGAUUUAAAAGUAAAAUUGAUGAAAUUAUGAAUAAGGUUCAAAAGGAUGUACAUAUCGCCCCAUCGCUCU